GUCUUCCUCAGCCAUCUCUUGCUGGCAGGUCCCUAAGUAGGAAUGGUGAUUUCUGACUCUGUCUGUGCUUUGCCUAUGCUCAGUGUCUCUCCAGACGGCUCUCUUGGACAAGACCUAAAUGGACACACAGCGACAUUCUCAUAGAUGCUUCUGGACGUCUUCACGGAUGGUCACGCUGGCAUGAGAACAGCUCAAAUGUUUCUUGUCUUUCUGGAGCACGAGCUGUUCAAACUUGAAGAUUAAGCCCACAGUAAUGGGUUUUAACACUGCCCGUGUUAGCUGGUGUUAACGGUUUGAAAUGGCGGCUCUCCAGGUAACAAAGAGCCUUUCAGACAGGCGGCUGUAAGGCAGGUUUUGAGGCAGUCUAAGGCUUUGGAUGGGAACACCUUUCUCCAGGCAUUUGAAUGGGAACUGGAUUGAGACCUCACAAGGUCUGGGCUUGGACUGUAGCUCACACAAGCAAGAAGAUUCGGGUCUCAUCCUUAGCACUGCAAAAGAGAAGAAAAAGAAAAGGCCUCACAGGAAACAACAAUGUACAGCCCACUUACAGAACC
rnacentral:lncRNA from 1 species